rnacentral:lncRNA from 1 species
AAUUAUGAGAACUCGCCUUUCCCUUGAGGGGAGGGAAAGAAUUUAGUAUGUGACAUACAGAAUUUGGAGUGCCAAUGUGCAAACCAGAGCUCUUGAAUCCUAUAAAAAAUUUAUGCAAACGAGUUUUACAGGUUUAAUAUGUCUAGUUGAUCUCUCAUAUAUGGCAUCAAGGGCAAUUACAGUAGCGCAGAGAUCUCACCGGAGGUGUGACUUGAGGG